AUAUAUCUCCCUUUCUAUCUCUUUAUAGUUUUCAUCGAACCGACAAUAUACAUCGGAGAAAAAGAAGAGAAGUUCUUCUCUAGGUUCAGUUUUCAUCGAGAGAUUUUUAUGUUCUUCUUCUUCAACAGAUCUCGCAGAUUUUAUCUCGUUUCAUGAAAUUGAACCCUCCUUUCAAUAAAUCUGCAAGCUAAUCAGAACCCAUCAAAAUCAGAAAUCAAAUGUAAACCUAAUCUCUUACCUGAAAUAAAAAAUCAAAUCAUUCAACCUCUGAUUUUGGUGGAUUAUCACCAGGUAUAUACUAGUUUUUAAAAUCGUGCUUCUGUGGAAGAUGGGUUUUGUUGGAGUCAAUUGAAGAUGGGUUUGAUCGAUGUUAGGGUUUGAGAACAAGGAGGAAUUGGUGGUUGUUUUAGGGUUUGGGUUUAAAUCCGAAUCUAUGUUUCAUUUGAAGCGAGAUAAGAUGAAUCUGAGAUGGGUUUGUAUGAGAAUCAAAUAUCAGUAAGGCCGGGUGAAGAGAUUAUGUUGAUGGAUGGAAUCGGAGAUAGUGCUUAGUGACUAUGACCAGCAAUCGGAAUCAAACUCCAGGAAACUUAUUAGCAUCCAAUGAUUCAGUAGCUUCUAGUUCAUCAGUAAAUGGUGAGAGUACCACUGAAAAUACAUCAGAGGGACAUAAAGAAUUGCCUUCAGUUUCGGUGAGCGAAGGAGAUGAUGUCAUUGAUAAAGAACAUUCUGCUGAUGCCUAACAAAUCACUAAACCAGGAGUUGAGGAUACUCCUUCAAAAGUUGGUUUAGAGAGACCUGAACAAGAAUAUGUGGCAACACAUACUAACACCAAUGCUCCAUCAGAAGAUGUAGAUCGAAAUACCAAUUCUAUAAAUGUGAUGUUUAGGAUACUCCAGGAACAUAAACGUGAUGUUUCUCCAGCUAGAGUGCAAGACCAACUUGAUGAGUGUAUACCUCUGAAGAAAUAGUGUUUUUGGCGCGAAAUCGGAAUCAACAAACAACAGAUGGCUUCAGAAGAUGUUCCGUCGGAGCUUCUCCCGAAAUGGGCUCCAGAGCCAUGUCUUAUGGGGAUAGAUGAAGCUGGAAGAGGUCCUGUUCUAGGUCCCAUGGUUUAUGGAUGCUUAUAUUGUCCAAUCUCCUAUCAGGCUAGUCUAUCCACCUUGAGUUUUGCAGGUUAGGUCUAACUUUUUUUUGUUACAAAUUGGAUUUUUGGUAUGUGAUUUGUUUUUGCAUUCUUGAAUCAACAUAAUUUGUUUUUGGUCGAAGACCAAAAUUGAGGUCUUUUCCCAAAUAAAGAAUAUUUUGACUAGAGGUUCCAUCCCAUAGAACUAAAAUCUAGAUCUUAUGAACACCAGGAGAAUAAGAGGGUAGUCAUGUAUGACUAACACUAAGACACUUGUUACUAGAAUGACACAGAAAUCUGGGAAAAUCACUAGCUUUAGCUCACAACUAGAACUUCAAGAUUUUGAAAUACAAAAGUAGACACCAAAUAAGAACAAUGGAGUGAAAACUCGACACAGGGACACCAAGUGAAAAAUCUAUCCUUGAGAAGGUUAGUUGAAAUCUGGUUUCUGAGGAGUUCAGUCAACAGCCUUCUCCAUCAUACUAAUUUAUCCAAUGUCAGUGAGUGAUAUUUUUCUGAAAUAAAUAUAUUCAUGUUUCAUUAUCUAAAUAAGUUGUUUCCUAAUUUUGUGUCAUCUAACAAGUACCAUGA